UGCGUACAUUAGUAGGCCAUACAGGGGGCGUGUGGUCCAGUCAGAUGAGUGGUAACAUCGUGAUCAGUGGGUUGACAGACAGGACUCUGAAGGUUUGGGACGCAGAGAGCGGAGAGUGUGUUCACACCCUGUACGGACACACCUCUACUGUACGCUGUGUACACCUGCAUGACAAACAGGUUGUGAGCGGUAGCCAUGACGCUACGUUGCGUCUGUGGGACGUAGAUUCUGGCGAGUGUCUCCACGUCCUGACAGGUCAUGUGGCGGCGGUGCGGUGUGUCCAGUAUGACGGCCGCAGGGUGGUCAGCGGAGGAUACGACUUCAUGGUUAAAGUCUGGGACCCUGAGACAAAGACCUGUCUACACACUCUGCAGGGACACACGAACAUAGUCUAUUCACUACAGGUCCCCAUAAGCACCAGUCAGCAGUGACCUGUCUCCAGUUCUCUCGCUCCCUGGUGGUCUCUUCAUCAGAUGACGGGACCGUGAAGCUGUGGAGCCUGGCGACGGGGGAGUGGAUCAGAGACCUGGUGGCUCUGCAGAGUGGAGGAUCAGGGGGAGUGGUGUGGAGGAUCAGGGCAUCUAACACCAGACUGGUAGCAGCUGUUGGCAGCAGGAACGGAACAGAGGAGACUAAACUCUUGGUGCUGGACUUUGACCUCACUGACACCCACAAGUGAUGUCAUCAAAGAGGCGACGUGCUUUCAUCAGGAGAGGAUGUCAUUGGAUAAGGAUGCGAGGUAACCAAAGAGGGACCUAAUAUCCUCAUAGGUGGAAGGAGAACUUGUAAUGAUGAUGAAAGGGGUGAGGAGAAGGUGUCGUUUGACAGAGGACUAUGUCAGAAUCUUCCUAUGGAAGGACUGAGUGCCAUUUUAAUAGGAGACACCAAUAUACCACAAACCAGGAGACGACUCAGAACUGUCCCCCAUUUCCUCACCACGUCCCUGCGGAACCUAACUCAUAUUUUCCUGCUGACCAUUUAAACACUGCUGGACACUGGUAUGGUGAAGAGACAGUACGAAGACCAACUUUGAAUCUUCUGCGACCGGAGGAAUCCAUGAGAGGUCUCACUAAGGUCAUGCGACUAACUGGCCUCCUGACCGACCGUCCAAAGGUCAAAUUGAGUAUAGUUACUGUAACUACCCAGACUACUGCUGGAUGUAUAGUUACUGUAACUACCCAGACUACUGCUGGAUGUAUAGUUACUGUAACCACCCAGACUACUGCUGGAUGUAUAGUUACUGUAACUACCCAGACUACUGCUGGAUGUAUAGUUACUGGAACCACCCAGACUACUGCUGGAUGUAUAGUUACUGUAACCACCCAGACUACUGCUGGAUGUAUAGUUCCUGAACUACCCAGACUACUGCUGGAUGUAUAGUUACUGGAACCACCCAGACUACUGCUGGAUGUAUAGUUACUGUAACUACCCAGACUACUGCUGGAUGUAUAGUUACUGUAACUACCCAGACUACUGCUGGAUGUAUAGUUACUGUAACCACCCAGACUACUGCUGGAUGUAUAGUUACUGUAACUACCCAGACUACUGCUGGAUGUAUAGUUACUGUAACUACCCAGACUACUGCUGGAUGUAUAGUUACUGGAACCACCCAGACUACUGCUGGAUGUAUAGUUACUGUAACUACCCAGACUACUGCUGGAUGUAUAGUUACUGUAACUACCCAGACUACUGCUGGAUGUAUAGUUACUGUAACCACCCAGACUACUGCUGGAUGUAUAGUUACUGUAACCACCCAGACUACUGCUGGAUGUAUAGUUACUGUAACUGUAACCACCCAGACUACUGCUGGAUGUAUAGUUCCUGAACCACCCAGACUACUGCUGGAUAUAUAGACUAUAGUUACUGUAACCACCCAGACUACUGCUGGAUGUAUAGUUACUGGAACCACCCAGACUACUGCUGGAUAUAUAGACUAUA